rnacentral:rRNA from 1 species
UACGUAGGGGGCAAGCGUUGUCCGGAUUUAUUGGGCGUAAAGAGCUCGUAGGCGGUUUGUCGCGUCUGCUGUGAAAACGCGGGGCUCAACUCCGCGCCUGCAGUGGGUACGGGCAGACUAGAGUGCAGUAGGGGAGACUGGGAAUUCCUGGUGUAGCGGUGGAAUGCGCAGAGUAUCAGGAGGAACACCGGUGGCGAAGGCGGGUCUCUGGGCUGUAACUGACGCUGAGGAGCGAAAGCGUGGGUAGCGAACAGG